UACGUAGGGGGCAAGCGUUGUCCGGAUUUAUUGGGCGUAAAGAGCGUGUAGGCGGCCAGGUAGGUCAGCUGUGAAAACUCGAGGCUCAACCUCGAGACGCCGGUUGAAACGAUCUGGCUAGAGUCCGGAAGAGGAGAGUGGAAUUCCUGGUGUAGCGGUGAAAUGCGCAGAUAUCAGGAAGAACACCAGUGGCUAAGGCGGCUCUCUAGUACGGUACUGACGCUGAGACGCGAAAGCGUGGGGAGCGAACAGG
rnacentral:rRNA from 1 species